GAGGAAUAUUGCCCAAUGGGGGAAACCCUGAGGCAGCAACGCCGCGUGGAGGACGAAGGCCUUCGGGUCGUAAACUCCUUUUCUGAGGGAAGAGCAAGGACGGUACCUCAGGAAUAAGUCUCGGCUAACUACGUGCCAGCAGCCGCGGUACAACGUAGGAGGCGAGCGUUAUCCGGAUUUACUGGGCGUAAAGCGCGCGCAGGCGGCUCUGUAAGUUGGACGUGAAAGCUCUCGGCUUAACCGGGAGAGGCCGUUCGAUACUGCGGGGCUUGAGGUAGGGAGAGGAAUGCGGAAUUCCCGGUGUAGUGGUGGAAUGCGUAGAGAUCGGGAGGAACACCUGUGGCGAAAGCGGCAUUCUGGCCCUCACCUGACGCUGAGGUGCGAAAGCGUGGGUAGCAAAC
rnacentral:rRNA from 1 species